rnacentral:piRNA from 1 species
UGUUGACUUACCGGUUCUCGC